rnacentral:misc_RNA from 1 species
UCGGAACUUGAUUUUGGAUUUCUUUCCGAUCCACGUUUUUUGAACACUGCCGUGACUCGUGCUCAGUCUUUGCUCGCAGUCGUCGGAGAUCCGAUGUCGCUAUGCAGUGUGGGUGCGUGCAGAGAUUUGUGGAAAGAUUAUCUCAGACGCUGCGAAGAAAAUGAAGGACUUCACGGCUGCACUCUUAAGACUGUUAUGGACUUCUGUCUUCGCUCCCAGCCCCUUGACCCGAGCGCGCAUGAAUUUACACCUAGUGUGGUUGCAAAUAAUAGAAAACAGGAUACUUCAAAAAGCACAUCCUCAAAAGGUGAAGAGAACAUUGUUGUGAGUGGAAGAACUGUUUCAGAAACUGAUAUGAAUAACGCUCCUGCAACGUCUUCAUAUGAUACCCAACCAUCCAGUUCAACUACAAUGCCCAGUCAGGACAUAAAACCAGCUUCUCAACCUGAUGUUGAUAGUCUUGAUGGGAAUGAAAGCACUGAAGUUGAUAGCGGGGGUGAUUUGCUGGGGAAUGAUGAGAACCAUGAUGAUAAUAGGGCGAUCGAUGAAGGGCAGAACGAGGACGAAGAUGACUCGGGUACAAACCAAUAUACAACAGACGAAUUCUUUCGUAGAGAUGACGAUGAUAACUAUGAUAGAAUCAUAACAGAACUUAUAAAAGCAUGUCGAGAAACGAAAGAGAAAGACGAAGACAAGCAAAAGGUGACUUCCAAUGAAUUUCCGGCACUUAAUGACGUCGACCUCUUUCCUAAAACCUCCGCCCCGAGCUGGCCUGUUAAAAGCAUUAAUCGAACCUUCUCAGCUGGUUUGAGGGACGGCAAAAUUGAAUUGGGUUUUCAUGUCAGAGAUAGCGAUCGACUCGUUCGUCUCACCGGUGGAAGGAUGACUUUCAAGGAAAGCGGUGACAGGGAAUCUUCACAUCAUGAUAUUGACGAGUUUCCAAGGGAGGAAUUGCUAAAGUUGCUUCAGGGAAAUCAAACUCGUUUUACAAAAUGCUGUUUCCGUACCGACAACAGUAGCCGGCCUCCGCGACAUUACGGUCAUCUUCCAACACCAGAUAGUCCUGAUAUUCACAUUCCCGGCCGUGCCCGAGGUGUUUACGAGGACGAUGUCGUUGUACUCGAGCUACAACCGAGGGCUACGCUGCGAAGCGGGGAUGGACGAGAACAAGAAACUUUGUAUGUUGGAUAUAUACGAGGUGUUUUGAGGCAACUCAUCAAACCUAAAGAACGCCAGUUUGUGUGCACAGUUGAUCGGGCGAAUCCUGGUAUGAUGGUACCCAUCAACAAAAACGUCCCAAGACUAAUGAAUUUUACGAAAACAGAUGAAGAAGGCAUCAUUCCCAUCUACACAAUGGAAGGCAGUAAGGUUGUUAGGGCGAGCAUCUUGAAGGGAAAGCCUUACAAUGCUGCUCUGGCUGGUGAACGUCUUUUCGUUCUGAAACUGUUGAAAUGGCGUAAAGACUGUCCCACCCCCCUUGGGUUAGCUAUACGGCAUAUUCCCCACGGUAAAGACUUCAGGACAGGCAUGGAUGUCCUCUACGAAGAGCACAAUAUUAAAAAAGAAUUUCAUAGGGAAAUACGCGAUACAGUUCAGAAAAAAUUCAGCGAGAACUGGCAGGUGCCACCGAGCGAAAGAGGCCGCCCUGCGUACCGCGAGAACGUGUUUACUAUCGAUCCACCGGAAUCUCGGGAUCUUGAUGACGCCAUCAGUCUGCGGUCUCUUGGAAACGGCAACUACGAGCUUCGCAUUCAUAUCGCCGACGUUUCGUUUUUCGUCCUGCCGAAUACGAAUCUAGACAAAGAGGCUCUGUUACGAAGUACGAGCUAUUAUCCUCCAAAACCUGACGAGAAUGUUCCGAUGCUUCCCCGAAGACUUUCCGAAAAUUGUUGUAGUCUACUGGAAGGAAAGGAUCGCCUCGUCCUUACGGUAAAAGUUGAGGUGACGUCUGAUGGGAAAGUUAUCGGUGACGCGAAAAUGGAGCGAAGCGUGAUCUGCUCGAGUUCUCGGUUGAGUUAUCUUGAAGCACAACAAAUCAUUGAUGAUUCAAGCGAAACAGACGUCGCUACCAACCUCGAGGCAAAAGAAAUACCAGUCAACGAAGCUAUCGGUAUUGUCCAUCGUUUUGCCAAAGGUUAUCGAAGAUCACGGCUGGGAUUAGAGAGAUCAAUGUACUAUCGAAAAAGUGAUGAUGAUGACGACGAUGAUGAUGAUGGUAAUGAUGAUGAUGAUGAUCAAGAUAAUGAUCAUGAAGGUGGUGGAAAUGAAAGAGAAGCUCAUCAAAUGAUCGAAGAGGUAAUGGUGUUGGCCAACCAUUUGGUAGCAAAAUAUUUGUUGAAUAGAUUCCCCGAAUGCACACCUCUUCGUGUACAACCACCAUCUAAGACGCGCAAAGUUGUUGAGUGGAAAAAACGCUUUCAAAAAUUCCUCAGCGUUUCGUUCGGGCUCGGAUGGCGGGAAGAUACGAACAGUGUCGUCCAUGAUGAGAAUAUCGAUCUCAUGGUCCCAUUCCAAACGUGGAAUGCAAUAAUGAGCGAAGUACGAAGAGGUUCGAAUCUCCAAGAUUUGGUUAAAGUUAUUUGUGAUCUUGAUCUUUUUCCUCAACUAUCGCUUGCCAACAUGCACCAACAACAAAUACAACAGCGCGGUAGUUAUAUUUGUUCAGGAGAUGAUUUUGGGAAUAUCCCAUACCCUUGGCCCAAGCAUGGAGAAGCGUCAGUGAACAUUCCGAGGGCUGCAAACAGCGAAAACAGCUCAGAAAAUCUUGAAACAAAUGCCACAAAUGGUAUACCAUCCUCGAACGCAUAUUUCGAUUCUUCGCCAAAUUUGCAAUCAGAUUCUACAAGUCUAAAGCAGGAUAAAACACCAGUCGCAGUGGAUACCACGAGCCACGAAAAUGAUGCCACGAACAGAGCAGCUCAAUGUUCAUCUGAUGCUGAUGACUUGAGGAUUGUACUGAAGGGACACUCAAGUCUUUGUCUGGACGCUUACUGUCAUUUCACCUCACCCAUCCGUCGUUAUAUAGACAUUAUUGUCCAUCGUUUGGUUGUGGCUAGCCUAGAGAGCAAACGAAACGUUAUGGAUCCCGAGGACGUUACGACCAUUUGCGACCGUUGCACGUUUCUCACCCGAAAUUCCAGUCGUUUUGACCGCGAAGCGAAGAAACUUAAACUGGCCGUAAAGUUAAAAAGCUCCUCGAAAUUUGUUUCCGCGUAUAUUGACGAAAUUACGCCCGACAGCUUGAAUUUGUUUUUUGGUCCAGGAAAAAUGGAACGGCUUCGUAACAAGUCACUCCGUAUUGCACGACUCGGACCCGAUAAAGAUCCGAAACCAGAAGGCGAUGGCAUUGCGUUGCAUUGGAAAUUCCGUCUCUUGCGCAUAGACAAGCAAGGCACGGCUCAACCCAAACCAGAUUUCCCUCACGACGAGAAAUCUCAAGAGCUUGAGAAGACCCUAGAAAAUCAAUCAGAAGAUGAAGAUCCGUCCUAUACAGACGAAGUAGCAGAUGAUGACUUUGACUACACUGUGAGUGGAAAACAAUGGAGUUCAGUUUUGGAUGCAGUCAAGAAUGAAAAUGAAGACGAGCUGAAGGCUCGCCUUAAGGAACUUGAUGAUGACGUUCAAAUACAAGCGCCUCACAGAAGUGCUACAAAAGUGUCUCUUCUGAAAAGAUUGGAAACUGACCCGGAACCAGACCCACAUGUGCGUAAUCCUUUUUAUCAGCAUCCAAAUACUGGCAAACCAGAACCGUCUGAAAAAGAAACGGACGGUUUUUACGAAGUUACCAAGUCUUUCAGGCCUUACGAACGAGUCAAGGUUCAAAUAUGUCCCCAAAUGACCAGAGGUGUCCUUUCGCCUGCCAUACAACUUUUCAAACUGACCGAUCAGAUACACGCUUGCGUUGAGCACCGAAGCUUUCCGACUACUUGCUUCGCGAAGACUUCGCACAGGCGACCGAACAAAACCGCCAAGUUUUCCGACAUCGAGAAUUACGUGAGGCUCUGGAAACCUGUCCUUAUGAUGGAAAUCGCUACGUCAGCAGUGCGGGAGAAUAACGUCAUCACUUUGUCGAAUCUUCGGGUAAAUUUUGCGCGUGUCGAAACCUCAGGCUUGGUGACGAUGAAUUUUGAUUUGUCCUUGGAAUAUUGCGAUAAUCACUUCCUCGAACCGCUAGAUUUAAACCUAUUAUGUGUCCGUGUGAAAGUUCCGGAGAAAAAAUCGGGAAAAGACGCCGGCUUCUGGGUCGGGCAUUUUCAGAUUUCCGAGGAAUUGAGGAGGAAGAAGGAUGUCAAGGGUACCCUGGAGGAAGCGUUGGAGAAGAAAAGUACCAAAGAAAGUGAAGAUCACCUCGCAGGUGAAGAUGAACCUGAAUCGACGAUAUCUGCUCCCAAAACUUCAACUCAAAAAGCAAAGAAAAUAAAUGAGAAAUUGAACUCCAAGGCAAAAUAUAAAAAGAGCGAAGAAUAUCGUCCCGUUUUGGCGCGAUUAAUACACAAUUCGUCGCCGAUUCCCGAGGCAAUAUUAGCGGAACUAUUUUGUUACGUUACAGUGGAGUUAAUAUUUUUAAACAUUCCAGACAGACGCCGUCUUGGAGCUCUCGUUGAUUCGGUUGUGGCAACUGAACUAGUUCAAAAUAUUUGUACCGGUGAAGAUACGGCAGAAUUUGAUGACGGAGGCAAACUUCCAAGUAAGGAUUUAACUUUGCCAGGCUUCAAUCCUCUGAACAGAUACCAACACCAAGCAGUUGAACAGGCUUUGACUAAAGCAUUCACCCUCAUUCAGGGUCCACCAGGUACAGGCAAAACUGUAACUGGUGUCCAUAUUGCGUAUUGGUUUGCCCAAAUGAACAAAAAACGAACGCCUUCUGUGGGAAGAGAUGGGGAAGAGUGCAAUGGUUUUAUGGUGUUCUAUUGUGGACCUUCUAACAAAUCAGUUGACGUUGUCGCUCGUUACCUCCUGAAAAUCAACGGUCUGAAAAUCUUGCGGGUUUACGGUCAAGAAAUCGAACGAAAAGUUUUUCCCGUGCCGGAGAAAAUCAUCGAGUUUCGAUCGAGGCAUGUUGCAGCUCAACUCAAGGCAGACGAAGAUCUUCAACAUGUAUCGUUACAUCAUGUUAUACGCAGUGACGAGUGUCCGUUUGCAGAAGAAUUGAGGGGUUACGAUCAAGAUUUUAAGGAACUCAUCAAAUUGAAACUGAACGCGCCUCGGAGAAUGAUACGUCAGUUCAACAAGCUUAAAGAGAAAGCGGAGAAAUGGGCCAUCACCCAGUCAGGAGUCGAAGUGAUUCUAUCCACGUGUACUUCGACGUAUAGUAACCGCAUCCUUUCGUCAUGCGAGGGUUUUGUAACUCAAUGCAUCAUUGAUGAAUGCGGCAUGUGUAUCGAGGCCGAAACGCUUUGCGGGAUGUUGGGUUCAGACGCGAAUCAGGUUGUUCUCAUUGGCGACCACAAGCAACUGCAGCCUAUCAUUCAAUGCGAAAAAGCGAAAGAUCUGGGACUAGGGAUUUCAAUGUUUGAACGCUACUCAAAAAGCGCUCAUAUGCUUGAGAUCCAGUACAGAAUGAACGAGGAACUAUGUCAGUUUCCAUCAAAGUUCUUUUACGAAGAUAAAUUGAAGACAGCGCCUGAAGUUAAGAAUCGUGAAACAGAUAAAGUCACAUGGCCAAACGGUGAUCGUUAUCCAUUUGUUUUCCAUCAUGUUGAAGGAGUCGAGGAGUCGUUAGUUGUCUCCACUGAACAAGGGAAUGAAAGAUCUCAGAAGAAUCAGAAAGAAGUUGCCAAAACUGUUUUCGUGGCUCGACGUCUUGUUGGCGAGGGAGUAGACUGUAAAAAUAUCGUUAUCUUGUCCCCAUAUCGCGCCCAAUGCUCCGAAAUAUCCAAUAAAUUGAAAGAACACGGCUUGAAAGAUAUUUUUGUAAGUUCUGUGGUCGCUGCUCAAGGAAGUGAAAGAGACUACGUCAUUUUGUCAUUGGUGCGCUCUCUUCCUUUCCGGGAAAUUGAAAGAGAUGCAUCGCGAUCAUGGCUGAAAGAACAUCUCGGAUUUUUGACGGACGAACAUCAAAUCAACGUUGCUCUGACCAGGGCUAAACGAGGCCUUUGCAUUAUUGGUAAUGCAAACUUAGUCGGUGUUUGUAGUUUGUGGCGAGCGUUGUUGGAUCAUUAUGAAAAGAAAAGUUGUUUAAUAAUGGAUGCGGAUAAAGUUUUAGGCCAUCAAGAAAACCUACGGUAUAGCUUUUCGUCUUAAAAUGACGUAUUAAGCUUCUCAGGGUUUUACUGCUGACCAGAUUGCGGAAAAAUCAAAAUGGCGGCUUCCAACUUCCAAGGCACAAUCUAUGGUUCAGAACGAAGCAUCGACGAGGAAUGGCCGGGACGUUUUUAGAAGAUGGUGACUCUGGGGCACUUAUAAGCUUUCUUGAUGACGAUC